rnacentral:rRNA from 1 species
UGUCUUUUUGAGAAUAAUAUAAGGUCUAAUCUGCCCACUGAUUUAGAUUGAAGGGCUGCAGUAUAUUGACUGUACAAAGGUAGCAUAAUCAUUAGUCAUUUAAUUGAUGACUUGUAUGAAGGAUUGGAUGAAAUAUAAACUGUCUCUUUAUUAAUAAUAGAAUUUAAUUUUUUAAUUAAAAAGUUAAAAUAUUUUAAAAAGACGAGAAGACCCUAUAGAGUUUUAUAAAUAAAAUAAUUAAGAUUAUUUAAUUAAAUAAAAUUAAGAUUAUAUUAUUUAUUUUGUUGGGGUGACAGAAAAAUAUAUUCAACUUUUUUUUUAUUUAAAACAUUUAUAAGUGGUUAAAUGAUCCAAUAUUAUUGAUUAUAAGAAAAAAUUACCUUAGGGAUAACAGCGUAAUUUUUUUUUUUAGUUCAAAUAAGAAAAAGAGUUUGCGACCUCGAUGUUGGAUUAAGAUAAAAUUUAAAUGCAGAAG